UGGGGAAUUUUGGACAAUGGGGGAAACCCUGAUCCAGCCAUCCCGCGUGUGCGAUGAAGGCCUUCGGGUUGUAAAGCACUUUUGGCAGGAAAGAAACGUCAUGGGUUAAUACCCCGUGAAACUGACGGUACCUGCAGAAUAAGCACCGGCUAACUACGUGCCAGCAGCCGCGGUAAUACGUAGGGUGCAAGCGUUAAUCGGAAUUACUGGGCGGAAAGCGUGCGCAGGCGGUUCGGAAAGAAAGAUGUGAAAUCCCAGAGCUCAACUUUGGAACUUCAUUUUUAACUACCGGGCUAGAGUGUGUCAGAGGGAGGUGGAAUUCCGCGUGUAGCAGUGAACUGCGUAGAUAUGCGGAGGAACACCGAUGGCGAAGGCAGCCUCCUGGGAUAACACUGACGCUCAUGCACGAAAGCGUGGGGAGCAAACAGG
rnacentral:rRNA from 1 species